rnacentral:rRNA from 1 species
GACGAACGCUGGCGGCGUGCUUAACACAUGCAAGUCGAACGGAAAGGCCCUGCUUUGGGGGGGUGCUCGAGGGGCGAACGGGUGAGUAACACGUGAGUAACCAGCCCCUGACCUUGGGGUAACUUCAGGAAACUGGGGCUAAUACCGGAUAGGAGCUCUCGCUGCAGGGUGGGGGCGGGAUAGUUUCGGCGGUUGGGGAUGGACUCGCGCCUUAUCGGCUUGUUGGUGGGGUAGUGGCUGACCAAGGCUAGGACGGGUAGCCGGCCUGAGAGGGUGACCGGCCCCGCCACGCUGGGACUACGGCCCGGCCCCCACUGCUACGCGGCGGUGCAGAGUGUUGUAUUGGGCGAUGGGCCCUGAUCUGGUCCCGCCACGCCGGGUAUGUCAUCCAUCCCUUAGUGUUGCGCAGCUCCCUGUCCCGAGACGUGAGUGACGGUAACGGGUGAAUAAGCUCCGGCUAACUCCGUG